rnacentral:rRNA from 1 species
CCCUUAGAUGUUCUGGGCCGCACGCGCGCUACACUGACGAAUGCAACGAGCUUAUAACCUUGGCCGAAAGGUCUGGGUAAUCUCCAAAUUUCGUCGUGAUGGGGAUAGAUUAUUGCAAUUAUUAAUCUUCAACGAGGAAUGCCUAGUAAGCGCAAGUCAUCAGCUUGCGUUGAUUACGUCCCUGCCCUUUGUACACACCGCCCGUCGCACCUACCGAUUGAAUGGUCCGGUGAAGCCUCCGGAUUGCGCGGCUUCGGCUGUCGCGAGAAGUUGGCUAAACCUUACCAUUUAGAGGAAGGUGAAGUCGUAACA